rnacentral:lncRNA from 1 species
AAAAUUGGCCUUGAUUAAUCUCUUUGUUCAUUUGUGUCAACCUCUCAUUCAUGUCAGCACAACUUAAUCCUUUUAACAACACUUAAUUUGUUUCUUUUCACAAUUGUGACAUGGGGAAUUAUAUAUAGGUUUAAAUAUAAAUGAGAUUCUUUUAUAUAUAUUUACUUUUUAUUUUGAGUUUUUUAUAAUAAAAAAUUAUUAUUCUAAGAUAUUGAUAUAUAUACCUAAUUAAGUCACAACAUAAUUUUAUCUCAACC